UGCAGGGAGACUUUGUUGUAAGUAUGACACCUUUUCUGUGGGGCUGACACGCUGAGCACACUCUCGCUUCACGCCGAUGUCCAUGAGCCUUCUGGCCACACCAGUGGUGAGGUGACAGGAUCUCUGUGCAGGUGUGUUCUGCUGGGAGCUUCUGGCCUCUGAGCCAGGCUGCACUGUGCUUCCUCCACCGUUCUCCUGGCUCCUGGCAGGGCUAUGCUGUUCUUUUCUAAAUAUCUUCUCUGCAGCUGAAGGACUGAGGUUUUUCCUUCUGUACCUCUGCUUACAUUGGAUAAUCCCUGUUGCCAAAUAUGUGUUGUCUCCCCAUCCCAGUGUCCAGGUGAAUGACUGCAAACAGUGACUGUGUGUACCAGGCUGCCUGAGGGGAGGCAGAGCCCUCAGCACCUGCUACAGGCUGAACUCUUCUCCCUUCAGGAGAAGGAGAGGCAGAGGCUGGAGAACCUCCGUAAGAAGCAGGAGGCUGAGGAACAGAGGAAGAAGAAAGUGGAGGAGGAGAAGAGACAGCGUCAGGCAGAAAUGAAGCAGUGAGUUGGGCCCCUUUCCCCCUCCUCUUUCCUUGGUCAGGAAAGGCUUGCCUUGUGCUUCCCACUUGGAAUGAGCACUUUGGGAGCAGGCGGGGCUGACGGGCCCCUCUUGCCCACGCGGUGCCCAGAAAGAGGGAAGAGCGCCUGAGGAAGGCCCUGCAGGCUCGAGAGCGUGCGGAACAGAUGGAGGAAAAGAAGAAAAAGCGGAUGGAGCAGAAGAUUCUGCAAAGUGAUGAGAAGUUGCACAUCUCACAGGUGAAGGAAGAGAAGGUGGCAGAGGAGCGGAGCAAGAGGAAAGGGUCCAAGAAACACGGGGAGGUGGAGGCACGGAAGCAGAAAGCCGUGAAAGGGGAGGAACAUGAGCAGCAAGAACCACUGCAGAAAAGAAGAGAGGAUGAAGUGAAGGAAAGAGGGAAAACAGUUUUGGAACUGAAGAACCUUCUGGAGCAGAAACAGCUGGGACAAGCAAAGGAGAGGUGUGAGCUGAUGCCUGUCCUGGAGCAGGGAAUUGACCACAGCUGGGGAAGCAGUAGAUGUGAUGUAAAUGUGAUGCUGCACCUGGGAUCUGGGGAGGCAGGAGCAGGAGGCUGUGAGAGGGUGAGGGACAGAUAGGCCUGCUUCCCCCUCUGAAUUCUUUCUUUUCCCCC
rnacentral:lncRNA from 1 species